UACGGAGGAUGCGAGCGUUAUCCGGAUUUAUUGGGUUUAAAGGGUGCGUAGGCGGAUCGUUAAGUCAGUGGUCAAAUUGAGGGGCUCAACCCCUUCCCGCCAUUGAAACUGGCGAUCUUGAGUGGAAGAGAAGUAUGCGGAAUGCGUGGUGUAUCGGUGAAAUGCAUAGAUAUCACGCAGAACCCCGAUUGCGAAGGCAGCAUGCCGGCUUCCGACUGACGCUGAAGCACGAAAGCGUGGGGAUCGAACAGG
rnacentral:rRNA from 1 species